rnacentral:rRNA from 1 species
AACGAACGCUGGCGGCAUGCCUAACACAUGCAAGUCGAACGAGACCUUCGGGUCUAGUGGCGCACGGGUGCGUAACGCGUGGGAACCUGCCCUUAGGUUCGGAAUAACUCCCCGAAAGGGGUGCUAAUACCGGAUAAUUUCUUCGGACCAAAGAUUUAUCGCCUUUGGAUGGGCCCGCGUUGGAUUAGCUAGUUGGUAGGGUAAAAGCCUACCAAGGCGACGAUCCAUAGCUGGUCUGAGAGGAUGAUCAGCCACACUGGGACUGAGACACGGCCCAGACUCCUACGGGAGGCAGCAGUAAAGAAUAUUGGACAAUGGGCGAAAGCCUGAUCCAGCAAUGCCGCGUGAGUGAUGAAGGCCUUAGGGUUGUAAAGCUCUUUUACCCGGGAUGAUAAUGACAGUACCGGGAGAAUAAGCUCCGGCUAACUCCGUG